rnacentral:rRNA from 1 species
AAUAGAUACCCCGGUAGUCCACCCCGUAAACGUUGGAACUAGUUGUGGGGUCCAUUCCACGGAUUCCGUGACGCAGCUAACGCAUUAAGUUCCCCGCCUGGGGAGUACGGCCGCAAGGCUAAAACUCAAAGGAAUUGACGGGGACCCGCACAAGCGGCGGAGCAUGCGGAUUAAUUCGAUGCAACGCGAAGAACCUUACCAAGGCUUGACAUACACGAGAACGGGCCAGAAAUGGUCAACUCUUUGGACACUCGUGAACAGGUGGUGCAUGGUUGUCGUCAGCUCGUGUCGUGAGAUGUUGGGUUAAGUCCCGCAACGAGCGCAACCCUCGUUCUAUGUUGCCAGCACGUAAUGGUGGGAACUCAUGGGAUACUGCCGGGGUCAACUCGGAGGAAGGUGGGGAUGACGUCAAAUCAUCAUGCCCCUUAUGUCUUGGGCUUCACGCAUGCUACAAUGGCCGGUACAAAGGGCUGCAAUACCGUGAGGUGGAGCGAAUCCCAAAAAGCCGGUCCCAGUUCGGAUUGAGGUCUGCAACUCGACCUC